UAUAACAUAUAUAUUUUUAUUUUUUACCAUAUUUUUUAGUAUAUUUUAUAGUAGAGUUAUUGUUUUUUUGUUAUUUUUUUUUUUACUUUAAAAUCAUGCAUAACUGAACGCUUUCGUAAUGAUAUAUUUUCGCUAAAAGAUUUUGGAAUUGGAAAUUUUUCAAUAUAUCAAAAGAGAAUUCAUAGUGAUGCAUGAUAUUCGUGAUGGUUGUUUUUUGUUUGAAUUAUUCUAUAUUCCUUUUUGAUCCAUUAUUAACGUUCUAGACUUUUUAAAUGUAGAUUGCAAUUAGUUUUUGUGUGAACUGCAUCGUUUGUCAUAUACUAUAUAUGCUUAUUAGUAAUAAAAUACAAUAACCGUA